rnacentral:rRNA from 1 species
GCUAACGCAUUAAGCAUUCCGCCUGGGGAGUACGGUCGCAAGAUUAAAACUCAAAGGAAUAGACGGGGACCCGCACAAGCGGUGGAGCAUGUGGUUUAAUUCGAAGAUACGCGAAGAACCUUACCAGGCUUGACAUGAUAGAAUCCUAUAGAGAUAUGGGAGUGCCCUUUUAGGGAGCUUGAACACAGGUGGUGCAGGGGUGUUGUCAGCUCGUGUCGUGAGAUGUUGGGUUAAGUCCCGCAAAGAGCGCAACCCUUGUCCUUAGUUGAUCGCAGUUAGGUUGAGCACUCUAAGGAGACUGCCUUGGUAAGGAGGAGGAAGGUGAGGAUGACGUCAAGUCAUCAUGGCCCUUAUGCUUAGGGCUACACACGUGCUACAAUGGGGUGCACAAAGAGGAGCAAUCCCGCGAGGUGGAGCAAAUCUCUAAAACAUCUUUCAGUUUGGAUUGUCGUUUGCAAAUUGAAUACCUGAAGGCGGAAUCGGUAGCAAUCGUGAAUCAGCCAUGUCACGGUGAAUACGUUCCCGGGUCUUGUACACACCGCCCGUC